GUGCUCGCUUCGGCAGCACAUAUUCUAAAGUUGGAACAAUACAGAGGUUAGUUAGCAUGGCCCCUGCGCAAGGAUGACGUGCAAAUUCAUGAACUGUUCCAUAUCUUU